UACGAAGGAUGCGAGCGUUAUCCGGAUUUAUUGGGUUUAAAGGGUGCGUAGGCGGCCUUAUAAGUCAGUGGUGAAAUCCUAUCGCUUAACGAUAGACGUGCCAUUGAUACUGUAGGGCUUGAGUACAGAUGCCGUUGGCGGAAUGUGUCAUGUAGCGGUGAAAUGCAUAGAUAUGACACAGAACACCGGUGGCGAAAGGCGGCAUCCUGGACCGGCAUUACGUGAGGCGCGAAA
rnacentral:rRNA from 1 species